rnacentral:rRNA from 1 species
ACUCCUACGGGAGGCAGCAGUGGAGAAUCUUGCACAAUGGGCGAAAGCCUGAUGCAGCCAUGCCGCGUGCGGGAAGAAGGCCUUCGGGUCGUAAACCGCUUUCAGCAGGGACGAAGCGAGAGUGACGGUACCUGCAGAAGAAGGACCGGCCAACUACGUGCCAGCAGCCGCGGUAAUACGUAGGGUCCGAGCGUUGUCCGGAAUUAUUGGGCGUAAAGCGCAUGUAGGCGGCCCGGUAAGUCGGAUGUGAAAUCCCAGGGCUCAACCCUGGAACUGCAUCCGAUACUGCUGGGCUUGAGGAAGGUAGAGGAGAGUGGAAUUCCCGGUGUAGCGGUGGAAUGCGCAGAUAUCGGGAGGAACACCAGCGGCGAAGGCGGCUCUCUGGGCCUCUCCUGACGCUGAGAUGCGAAAGCGUGGGUAGCGAACAGGAUUAGAAACCCCGGUAGUCC